AGUGAACGCUGGCGGUAGGCCUAACACAUGCAAGUCGAACGGCAGCACAGUAAGAGCUUGCUCUUACGGGUGGCGAGUGGCGGACGGGUGAGGAAUACAUCGGAAUCUACUUUUUCGUGGGGGAUAACGUAGGGAAACUUACGCUAAUACCGCAUACGACCUACGGGUGAAAGCAGGGGAUCUUCGGACCUUGCGCGAUUGAAUGAGCCGAUGUCGGAUUAGUUAGUUGGCGGGGUAAAGGCCCACCAAGGCGACGAUCCGUAGCUGGUCUGAGAGGAUGGUCAGCCACACUGGAACUGAGACACGGUCCAGACUACUACGGGAGGCGGCAGAGGGGAAUAUUGGACAAUGGGCGCAAGCCUGAUCCAGCCAUACCGCGUGGGGGAAGAAGGCCUUCGGGUUGUAAAGCCCUUUUGUUGGGAAAGAAAAGCAGCAGGUUAAUACCCCGCUGUUCUGACGGUACCCAAAGAAUAAGCACCGGCUAACUUCGUG
rnacentral:rRNA from 1 species